UACGUAGGUGGCAAGCGUUGUCCGGAUUUACUGGGUGUAAAGGGCGUGUAGCCGGGCUGACAAGUCAGAUGUGAAAUUCCGGGGCUCAACCCCGGACCUGCAUUUGAAGCUGUUGGUCUUGAGUAUCGGAGAGGCAGGCGGAAUUCCUAGUGUAGCGGUGAAAUGCGUAGAUAUUAGGAGGAACACCAGUGGCGAAGGCGGCCUGCUGGACGACAACUGACGGUGAGGCGCGAAAGCGUGGGGAGCAAACAGG
rnacentral:rRNA from 1 species